AAACUUUCAACAACGGAUCUCUUGGCUCUCGCAUCGAUGAAGAACGCAGCGAAAUGCGAUAAGUAGUGUGAAUUGCAGAGCUUUGUGAACCAUCGAAUCUUUGAACGCAAAUUGCGCCUUCUUUCGGAAGGCAUGUCUGUUUGAGGGCACCAUU
rnacentral:rRNA from 1 species